UCCCUAACCCCUAACUCCAGCCUAUGGCAUCAAUUAUCAGAUUUGUGGUGAUAAACCUUCUAUAAUUUGUAUGUGAAAUGUGAAGCGUAGAACAUGAAUGGUCCCGGUCCUGAAACAUUUAGCUGUGUCUUGAUAAAGGAAAAUCUGUUUUUUGGGAAACCCUAUUCAUAUCGUGUCGGGCAUUUUCUAAAGUGGAUUUUGUGCAUCAUUAUCAUGAUAACAUGUUGUUUGAGACAUUGAAACCCUACAUAAUUUGGUGAUUAAUGAGAUUUAAAAGGACUUGCAAGAUGCAUUCUUUAUUUCUGUUCUACAAACCCCUUGUUACAGGCUGUGGUACCACUGAAAAUGCUUUAAAUCACAUUGAAUGUAUAUGCCCCCAAAAGUAGAUAACAUGGGCAGAGAGAUUCAGAAGAGGCUGACACAAUUGAAAGAGAUGUGCAGGGAUUUAAAACAACAAAAUAUAAAUUUUGAGAGCCGAAGAUGACAGGUCAGCACUAUAAAUUCAGUCCCACAUGGGGUCCACUAUAUACAUAUAUUACAUGUAUAUGUAUAUUAUGCAGAAAAAAGGUUUAGCUCAGGUGUUGUAUACCAGCUUUUAUUCUGUUAUUACUUAUUAGGUUCCUUUGCUCUCAGAGUCUCAGCCCUGUAUUUUUUUUUUUCAAUCUAAUUAUGUAUUCUUACUUUUUGAGUUAUUUUUGGAAAUAAAAAAGAAAAAUACAGAGCUUAUUUUUAAACUA